AGCCCAGAGACUGGACACAAGCACGCUUAGCCUCUUUGAAUGGGAGUCUUCACUUCAUCAGAGUGGCGUUAUCGGACUCCCAUUUUGUGUUU